UGACAGAGUGAGAGAGGGGUGACUAGUGACCGAGUGAGGGAGGGAGUGGGUGACUAGUGACAGAGUGAGGAAGGGGGUGACACAGUGAUAGUCACCCCAUUCCUCCCUCUGUCACUAAUCACCACCUCCCUCACUCUCACUAGUCACACCCUCCCUCUCUCUGUCACUAGUCACACCCUUACUCACUGUCACUAGUCACACCCUUACUCACUGUCACUAGUCACACCCUCCCUCUCUCUGUCACUA